rnacentral:tRNA from 1 species
UGCCGAUUAGCUCAGUGGCAGAGCUUCGUCUCGAAAACGAUGGUCGCCGGUUCGAAUCCGGUAUUGGCAA